rnacentral:rRNA from 2 species
CCUUACACAAGGGGAUAGCCUCUGGAAACGGAGAAUAAUACCCUAUGAAAUUACAGCCUCGCAUGAAGCAGUAAUCAAAGUGUUAGCGGUGUAAGAUGGACUUGCGUCUGAUAGCUAGUUGGUGAGAUAACAGCCCACCAAGGCAACGAUCAGUAGCCGGCUUGAGAGAGUGUACGGCCACAUUGGGACUGAGACACGGCCCAGACUCCUACGGGAGGCAGCAGUGGGGAAUUUUGCACAAUGGGGGCAACCCUGAUGCAGCGACGCCGCGUGAUUUAGAAGGCCUUCGGGUUGUAAAAAUCUUUUGUAUAGGAAGAAGAUGACAGUACUAUACGAAUAAGGUCCGGCUAAUUACGUGCCAGCAGCCGCGGUAAUACGUAAGGACCGAGCGUUGUCCGGAAUCAUUGGGCGUAAAGGGUACGUAGGCGGUUAGAAAAGUUAGAAGUGAAAGGCUAUAGCUCAACUAUAGUAAGCUUUUAAAACUGUUUAACUUGAGAGAUGGAAGGGAAAGUGGAAUUCCUAGUGUAGCGGUGAAAUGCGCAGAUAUUAGGAGGAAUACCGGUGGCGAAGGCGACUUUCUGGCCAUUAUCUGACGCUGAGGUACGAAA